AGCAUGUGUGUUAGUGGAAGCGUCUGGAAAGGCGCGCGAUACAGGGUGACAGCCCCGUACACAAAAGCGCAUGUGCUGUGAGCUCGAUGAGUAGGGCGGGACACGUGGUAUCCUGUCUGAAUAUGGGGGGACCAUCCUCCAAGGCUAAAUACUCCUGACUGACCGAUAGUGAACCAGUACCGUGAGGGAAAGGCGAAAAGAACCCCGGCGAGGGGAGUGAAAAAGAACCUGAAACCGUGUACGUACAAGCAGUGGGAGCACCCUUUGGGGUGUGACUGCGUACCUUUUGUAUAAUGGGUCAGCGACUUAUAUUCUGUAGCAAGGUUAACCGUAUAGGGGAGCCGUAGGGAAACCGAGUCUUAACC
rnacentral:rRNA from 1 species